rnacentral:rRNA from 1 species
CUAAGGAAACAGACUUUAAGUCUGACGGAAACCUGCACACACGAAACUUUGUUUAGUUUUGAGGGGACGACCCUCAAGCACCCUAGCGGGUCGACUUUGUUCUUUGAAAACUGGAUAUCAUUGUUGUAAAUGUUUUAAAUUGCCGAGAACACAGCGUAUUUGUAUGAGUUUCUAAUUUAGAAAUUCGCAUCGCAUAACCGCUGACGCAAGUCAGUACA